UUCCCCAUGCUUCCACCCCUACUCCAGUCUUACUCCACUUCAAGUUUUAAAAAUGCUGUCCUAAAUUCUUCAGUGGAUGUGGAGUUAUCCACUGAUAGAGAGAGGGACAGUGGCUUGAGGAAAGUGGAAAUCCAACUGGAAGUCUUUUAAAGAUCGACAAAAGUCAGGUGUGAUGGUUCACUCCAGUAAUCCCAGCUACUUGGGAGGCUGGGGUGGGAGGAUCACUUGAACCCAAUUCAAGCCAGCCUCUAACAAGCAAGACCCCAUCAGAGAGAAAGAGAGAAACAAUGUCCCAGGCACUGAGGGCCCACGAAGGCAGUCAUUACUUAUUAUGUGUUAUAUAAUGUCUAUUGGGUGGUAACUGUGUGGCAGGUGUGGCAAGUGGAUUCUCUCUCUUAAUCCUCACCCCCAGGUCACUGGAAUCCAGAGCCCAUACUCUUAACCACCUUUUGAUAUGUCUCCCUUUAUGAUUAGGUGUAUCAGUACAGUUCAUUCAGGGGAGCAGAGCCACUAUGGGUAUUAUGGGAAUAAGGGCUUUAUUACAAGAAUGAGAUUUAUCCAAAGCCUGAAGGAGCUGGGAAAGUGAAAGUCUGCAAGGAACUGUGGGAUAAUCUGAGAGGAGUCACAAAUGAGUGGAGGACUAGGUGAAACCUAUCUGCCGGGCACCUCUGUCUGUCAUAGCAUCUGACUAGAAGAUUUCCACAGAGCACUGGCUGACACUCCCACUCUGCCUUCCAAAUCUCACCCCAGGUCCUCUUUUGGCCAACUCUAACUCAGAGCCUUGUUGGUAGUGCGUUCUGAAAGUGUACUUUCCAGUUUAACCAAAUCGAUUUAGCACAAUCCAGCACAUUAGAAAAUCUUCAAUGUAGGUGAGAUAUAGCUGACUAAAAUUCCAGGCUGCAGAAGAAAGUUUGGGCCACAUUUUUAUAUGUUUAUCUCCCUUUUUGAAUGGCUGCAUGACAUUUUAUAUAAUAUUGGUCAGUAUUUUAUGUAUACAGUAGCAUUUACAAACACUGGAAAAAUAGUAACUCCUUCAGAGCUGCACUUCAAGGACUAAGCAGAGUGUCUGGCAUGCAGUAGAUGCUCAGCAAAUAUUGGAUGAAUGAGUGGCUGCUGAAAGACUAGAGUUCCUGCAGGGCAACAUCAACUCCUACUUAUCAACUCUGGCAGAUAUUUGAAAAUCGCCCAGGGGCAGGAAGUGGCCUCAUUCUCCUAAGUAAUGGGGAGGUAAUUCUACUCACCGGUAUGCCACCACUUUCAGUCUCUGGCUAGCACCCAAGUGGAAUGAAAACUCCCCGUUUACUGCUUCCAAGAGGAACUGAUCACCACCUCUUUGGGGUGUCUUCUUUGCUCAUGAUGAUCGCCUUAAUUGUACUUCCUCAUGCACAAAAGUGGGGCCCCAACCCUCUUCCUUGGCCACAGCUGAUUGAACCAUGAUUAGACACCUGAACACAGGUGGGCAAAUCAGAUUCUCCCUUCUGGGAAUUUGGAAUUGGGACCAAAAACCAAAAAAUAACAUUUAACAAAACAAGCAUAAAUAAGUAAAGGGGGAUAGAAAAUUAUUACUAAUUAAUUAACAUAACUGACAGGUAUUUUAGGCAAAAAAUAUUUGUUUCUUCCAUUACACUCCACAUCAAAAAAAUUUUGAAUGCUUUUAGAGGCUGGGUGCGGUGGCUCACACCUGUAAUCCCAACACUUUGGGAGGCCGAGGUGGGUGGAUAACUUGAGGCCAGGAGUUCAAGAGCAGCCUGGCCAACAUAGCAAAACCCCGUCGCUACUAAAAAUACAAAAACUUAGUCAGGCAUGGCGCAUGCCUGUAAUCCCAGCUACUCAGGAGGCUGAAGCAUGAGAAUCGCUUGAACCUAGGAGAUGGAGGUUGCCGUGAGCCAAGAUCGCCCCGCUGCACUCCAGCCUGAGCAAGACUCUGUCUCAAAAAAAAAAAAA
ensembl:lncRNA